rnacentral:rRNA from 1 species
UACGGAGGGGGCUAGCGUUGUUCGGAAUUACUGGGCGUAAAGCGCACGUAGGCGGCUUUGUAAGUUGGAGGUGAAAGCCCGGGGCUCAACUCCGGAACUGCCUUUAAGACUGCAUCGCUUGAAUCCAGGAGAGGUGAGUGGAAUCCGAGUGUAGAGGUGAAAUUCGUAGAUAUUCGGAAGAACACCAGUGGCGAAGGCGGCUCACUGGACUGGUAUUGACGCUGAG